UGAAACAACCCAGUAAAGCCUAAAAAAGCAGAGAUCAAAACUCGUACCUUUUGCAUCAUGAUUUAGCCAGUAACCCCAAGCAAAGAGAACUUUAGUUUGGCCCCCCGAAACUAAGUGAGCUACUCCAGGACAGCCUAUUGUAGGGCGAACCCGUCUCUGUGGCAAAAGAGUGGGAAGAACUUUGAGUAGAGGUGACAAAUCUACCGAACUUAGUAAUAGCUGGUUGUCUGAGAAAUGGAUAGAAGUUCAGCCUCGCGGCUUCUUGCUUCAAAUUUCGUAUUAAACCUUAAUUAGAUUCAUAAAGAAACCGAGAGAGUUAAUCUUAGGGGGUACAGCCCCUCAGAUAAAGGACACAACCUUAACAGGUGGGUAAAGAUCAUAAUUAACCCAAGGUAAAGCACCCCGGUGGGCUUAAAAGCAGCCACCCAUGCAGAAAGCGUUAAAGCUCAGGUGCACCCAACCUUCCGUCGAUCCCGAUAACAUAAUCUCAACCCCCUCUAAAUAUCAGACUAUCCGCUGCAAACAGCGGAGAAAUAAUGCUAAUAUGAGUAAUAAGAGAGAACAAACUCUCUCCCUGCACAAGUGUAACUC
rnacentral:rRNA from 1 species